rnacentral:rRNA from 1 species
GACAGAGGUGCCAAGCGUUAGGCGGAAUCACUGGGCUUAAAGCGUGUGUAGGCGGAUCGUUAAGUACCUUGUGAAAUCCCACGGCUCAACCGUGGAACUGCUGGGUAUACUGGCGGUCUUGAGCCACCUAGGGGCAACUGGAACAAGCGGUGGAGCGGUGAAAUGCGUAGAUAUCGCUUGGAACGCCAACGGUGAAAACAGGUUGCUGGGGGUGUGCUGACGCUGGAGAACACGGAAAGCCAGGGGAGCGAACGGG